AUAUAUAAAAGUCAAUUUGACAAAUCCUGACUAAAGCUGAAGUCCUGCCUACAGCUAUCAAGACCCAGCGACUCUGUGUCAAAAGAACCUCAGACGAAAAAUGAUGAUCAGACUGAUACUGGUGAUUAUGGUCCUACAUGUGGGUACCAUCGCAGGUUUGACUCCGUGUCCAAACCAAGCCUACCCACAUUGGUUCAAGCUGGGGGAUGUUUGUGCCAGAUACUUUGCAUAUGAAUUCAACUUUGCUGACGCUGAGACAAGGUGCGGAGGAGAAGCUGCAGGUGGACAUCUUAUAUCUAUUCAUGAUGAGCAAACCAGUGAAGACGUGCGAAUUCUUACUGGGUCUUCUUAUACACGGGUCUGGAUUGGAGGAUUCAAGAUUCCCCAUAGUGGUAAAUUUGUAUGGACUGAUGGGUCAAACUGGGAUUACACAAACUGGGUUCAAGGGGAACCUAACGGUAAUGGUGACUGUGUGCAGAUCAACUAUGAUACUCCUGGCAAGUGGGAUGAUGUCCAGUGCUGGAGUUCACGUGGAUACGUCUGUGCUUUCAAGAUAUAGCAGCAUGGAGAAAUCUUCUGGCACAAUGCUGUCAUUUGGUAUAGCAUUAACUUCUAGUUGUGCAUUCAAACUGUUGGGCCUUGAAGGAAAUGUGUGAUCUUUUCUUCUUUUUACAAAGUGUCAUAAUGUCUUUUCAGAGAAUAAUGGCAUUUUGUAUACCUUACUAACCUUUCACAAUUGCAUGAUAAAAAGAAUUUAAAAAAUUAACUUAUCAUAAAGUAUGGUGUCAUCGAUUAGCAGGGGACACAUUCAUGUCACAUAAUGAAAAUAGUGGAAGUGAUGCUAGUUUUUAACAACAUCGCUUGGCAACGUCGCAAAAACGGCAGUUUAUUUCCUGGUUUUGGAACAGAUAACAUUCAAACUGCACCAGAGUUCUAAUGAACUUUACCCCAGACCACCGUUUUCCUGGUCUGGACCUGGGUCCGCAUUCCGAGUAUAGACUGUGUUCACAUUAGCAAAAAUCAGUCCAAACGAACUUGGGUCCGGACCCAACGGUCUAGUGUGAAUGCGACCUUAGAACUCUCCCUACCUAAAUGAAAAUAGGAAAAUCAUUUUACAAUUAACACCAACUUCAAAAAGGCACUUGCUCUUUUCCCAAUGAACAAAACCAGACUUAUACCAAACUGAUGUUGAUGAAGGGUGCAUUUUUG